GACGAACGCUGGCGGCGUGCUUAACACAUGCAAGUCGAACGCUGAAGCCUAGCUUGCUGGGUGGAUGAGUGGCGAACGGGUGAGUAACACGUGAGUAACCUGCCCCCUUCUUUGGGAUAACGCCCGGAAACGGGUGCUAAUACUGGAUAUUCACUGAUCUUCGCAUGGGGGUUGGUGGAAAGGUUUGUUCUGGUGGGGGAUGGGCUCGCGGCCUAUCAGCUUGUUGGUGGGGUGAUGGCCUACCAAGGCUUUGACGGGUAGCCGGCCCGAGAGGGUGACCGGUCACAUUGGGACUGAGAUACGGCCCAGACUCCUACGGGAGGCAGCAGUGGGGAAUAUUGCACAAUGGGCGAAAGCCUGAUGCAGCGACGCCGCGUGAGGGAUGGAGGCCUUCGGGUUGUAAACCUCUUUCGCUCAUGGUCAAGCCGCAACAGUGGUUGUGGUGAGGGUAGUGGGUAAAGAAGCGCCGGCUAACUACGUGCCAGCAGCCGCGGUAAUACGUAGGGCGCGAGCGUUGUCCGGAAUUAUUGGGCGUAAAGGGCUUGUAGGCGGUUGGUCGCGUCUGCCGUGAAAUCCUCUGGCUUAACUGGGGGCGUGCGGUGGGUACGGGCUGACUUGAGUGCGGUAGGGGAGACUGGAACUCCUGGUGUAGCGGUGGAAUGCGCAGAUAUCAGGAAGACACCGGUGGCGAGGCGGUCUCUGGGCCGUUACUGACGCUGAGGAGCGAAGCGUGGGGAGCGACAGGAUUAGAUACCUGUAGUCAGGGCGAUCACAGUGAUAUCAGCUAUCGAUACGUCGACUCGAGGGGGGCCAGUACCAGC
rnacentral:rRNA from 1 species